rnacentral:lncRNA from 1 species
AAUAAACCAAAAUUUGCUAAAAACUCCUUACAGCCUCUGAGCUCCGCAAGUACUUGGGCUACACAGCCCUCGUCUUGUUCUCCGCUGCAGCCACCUACUACUCCUUCCCUUUCCCUGAAAACGCCAGGCACAAAAAAGCCCAGAUUUUCCGCUAUGCUCCUCUGCCCGAGGAGCUCCACACAGUCUCCAACUGGAGCGGGACCCACGGGGUCCAGACCCGGGUUUUCCACCAGCCUGAGACCCAUGAGGAGCUGGAAAAGGCUGUCAAAGAUGCCCGUGAGAAGAAAACCCGGAUUCGGCCGGUCGGGUCCGGGUUGUCCCCGAAUGGGAUUGGAUUGUCCAGGGCUGGAAUGGUCAAUUUGGCGCUGAUGGAUAAGGUUUUGGAGGUGGAUAAGGAGAAGAAGAGGGUGAGAGUGCAAGCUGGGAUAAGGGUGCAGGAAUUGGUGGAUGGGAUCAAGGAACAUGGCCUUACUCUGCAGAACUUUGCCUCCAUUAGGAAGCAGCAGAUUGGUGGCAUUUUGCAGGUUGGUUUGUUUUUUUGUUAAGUUUGAUGUGGGUUUUGGUUUAACUGUUUCCAAUUGACUGGCCUUAUCACAUUUUGAUUUUUGCUAAUAUGAUCUUUCUCUUUGCCUCAUGUUCAUAUGCGUGUAGGUUGGUGCACAUGGUACUGGUGCAAAAUUGCCUCCGAUGGAUGAACAGGUGAUCAGUAUGAAGCUGGUCACUCCUGCUAAGGGAACAAUAGAAAUCUCUAAAGAGAAAGAUCCAGAGCUGUUUUGUUUAGCCCGGUGUGGCCUUGGAGUGGUUGCUGAAGUCACCAUCCAGUGCGUUGAGAGACAGGAGCUUGUAGAGCACACUUCUGUCUCAAACAUGGAAGAGAUCAAGAAAAAUCAUAAGUAAUUAUUUAUUCCUUUCAUUGUUAGAUUUAUUGGUUUAUCUUUCAUUCAGAUAGUAAGUGCAAAAUGCAUGAGUGUUGCUUGCAAGUUGCAAAUUGCAACAAGUUUAUGGAAAGAUGAAAACUAUUGAGUGUGAGGCAACCAUUGUUUGGUUUGGAGCUAGGGUUUUACAAUGUUUUAAGGGAUGGUGAAAACACUUCCAUUGAGUGCUGAGAUUUGGUGGCUUGUAAUGCAAACCCUUCAUUGAAUUUCAUCUAGUGAUUUUUUUUUUGGAAGAAAAAAGAGAAACUACAAUAAAAACCACUCACAAAAAAGGUAAGUUAGAAAAAGCUCAAAUUUUGAAAAUUUUAGUCUCACUUCACAGCUGCUAACAAUAAAACAUUAUAAAAGAAUGGUCAUUUCAGCUAGUGAUAGCAACACUUUCCAGUGAAACAUAAAAAUUGUCGAUCACUGAUGCAUCAACAUGUACAUGUGGUUCUUAACUCUCAAGUCAUUGCUUAGUAAGGGUAAGCUGUAUGUACUGUUUUUUCUUAUUUAUAACGAAUUCUUCUCUCCCUCUGUAUGUCCUGUUUUUGCUUAUUUUUAACGAAUUCUCUCUCUCUCUCUCUCUCUCUCUCUCUCUCUCUCGUAUUUUGACUCACUGUGCGCUUAUGCACCAUUAGUAUUAUAGCGCGAUAUGGAAUCAGGAAAUGAAUGAUACAUGAUCUGUUUGUUUCACAGGAAAUUACUAUCUGAGAAUAAACAUGUGAAGUGCCUUUAUAUUCCAUAUAGCGACACUGUUGUGGUUGUGACGUGUAACCCUGUAUCAAAAUGGAAAGGUCCCCCAAAGUUCAAACCCAAAUAUAGCAGCGAUGAAGCCAUACAGCAUGUUCGAGAUCUCUACAACGAAUGCCUCCAGAAGUGCAGGUAAAGUUGUUUCCUGGUCCUGUCAACCAUAUAAUCUAGCAAGAUAUUUUCUCCUGUUUGAGCUGAAGGACAAUAAGCUGUACAGGCUGAAUGUCUUUUAUUCCCUUUUAUCAUUUAUCAUUUUCUUUAUUUUCAUAUUCUCUUGGCUUAGAGGACCUGUGCAAGUGCAAUAAAGUAAAGGCAUCAAAGUACUGCUAGAGCUAUGUGGUGAAAUGGGAAACAAAAACUUUUUGCAACAUGGUCUUAAAUGACUGCUUUUUUCUUUCAUUUCUCUGUUUCAAUGUUCAGUGGCUUUGAUAUUCCAGAUUUCUUACUAAUAGAACUUGGAACUCUGUUUAUAUACUGUUAAGACAAUACUCAUUAGCACUUAAUAUAGAUGCAUACGCUUAUACUCUUGUAAGCUUGGGCAAGCUUGGUUGGGGUUGGUUUAACCAAGGUCAACCCAGGUCGUGAAAUCCCAACUGGAAUGUUGUAUGCAGGUUGGUGGGCAUGGAUUGCGAACUCCUAGAGCUGUCUUUGGUGUUGUUGUGUUAGCAUAAAACGGAUUACUGGUCCUCCAUUGUUCUUCCUCUAUUAUCUGUUCUUUUUUGCUUCAUAUACUCAAAAACUCCCAUAUUGCUAUUGUGCUGAUUCAUCUGUUCGUUGCAGCUAACCAUUUACACAUUUUACUUGCAGUGUAGUUCCAGUUAAGAAUGACGUGGACAUAAAUGAGCUGUCAUUUACAGAGUUGAGAGAUAAACUGCUUGCCCUAGAUCCUCUCGACAAAGAUCAUGUUGUAAAAGUUAAUCAAGCUGAGGCUGAAUUCUGGAGGAAGUCAGAGGGAUACAGAGUGGGAUGGAGUGAUGAAAUUCUGGGCUUUGAUUGUGGUGGUCAAACAGUGGGUUUCAGAAACUUGUUUUCCAGUUGGAACCCUUUCCAAACCAAGCUUGAAAGACCUUGAAUACAUAGAAGAUGUAAAGCAGCUCAUAGAGAAGAACAAGGUACCAGCACCUGCUCCAAUAGAGCAGCGCUGGACAGCAUGCACUAAGAGCCCCAUGAGUCCAGCUUCAAGUACAAAAGACGAUGAUAUAUUUUCGUGGGUAAUUUCAUGAACCAAUGUUUCUUCGCAUUGUUCUUUAUAUCCCUUGGGUUAAUUCCUUAU